GAAAAUUAUUGGGGGCCCCAUUAAUGAGUAAAGACUGGACUAAAACAUUUCCAGCAGUUUCCUUAAGCCUAAGUGGUGGUGGGGGGAUAUCCCCAUUUGGUUAUUUUAACACAUUUUUCCCAUUACCUAAGAGAACUGGAUCAUAACAAUUAACAUAUUAUUACUAUUAUUAUUAUUAUUAUUAUUAUUAUUAUUAUUAUUAUUAUUGUCUUUUUGAGGCAGGGUCUCACUGUGCAGAUCAGGCUGGCCUUGACCUCACUUUGUACUCCAGGCUGGUCUUGAAUUCACAAUGAUCCUCCUGCAUCAGCCUCCUGAGUGUUGGGAUUACAGGUGUGCACCACUACACCUGGCCCUCCCUUGGCCAGCUUUUUUGCCUUGCCGAGAGAUAUCCUGGCUAAGCUCUAGAACAGCAAAAGUCAACAUACGGAAGGCACAAGUGUAAAUCGAUCCUCCGAUAGCUGUUCUCCUGUAUUACAGGAAAACGGUUUUUGCAAGCUGCCUCAGCCCUUUAGUUGAGAGAAGAUGAUCCAGCGAGCCAAGGUGUUCCAAAGCUGCCAGU
rnacentral:lncRNA from 1 species